CCUACGGGGGGCUGCAGUAAGGAAUAUUGGUCAAUGGACGAAAGUCUGAACCAGCCAUCCCGCGUGCAGGAUGAAAGCCCUAUGGGUUGUAAACUGCUUUUCGCAGAGAAGAAAGGCUUCCAUUUAUGGGGGUCUGACGGUAUCUGCAGAAUAAGCACCGGCUAACUCCGUGCCAGCAGCCGCGGUAAUACGGAGGGUGCGAGCGUUAUCCGGAAUAACUGGGUCGAAGGGGUGCGUUGACGGAGUUGGUGAACACUUGUCGCUUAACGAUAAAAUUGCCAAUGAUACUGGUACUCUUGAAUUGGGUUGAGGUUAGCGGAAUGUGACAUGUAGCGGUGAAAUGCAUAGAUAUGUCAUGGAACACCAAUUGCGAAGGCAGCUAACUGGGCCUUGAUUGACGCUGAGGCACGAAAGCGUGGGUAGCGAACAGGAUUAGAUACCCUUGUAGUC
rnacentral:rRNA from 1 species